rnacentral:rRNA from 1 species
GAUGAACGCUGGCGGCGUGCCUAAUACAUGCAAGUCGAACGAAGUCUUCGGACUUAGUGGCGAACGGGUGAGUAACACGUUGGUACCUACCCCGAAGUGGGGAAUAACUGCCCGAAGGGUGGCUAAUACCGCAUAAUACCGCAAGGUUAAAGCAGUAAUGCGCUUCGGGAGGGGCCUGCGUCCCAUUAGCUAGUUGGUAGGGUAAUGGCCUACCAAGGCGACGAUGGGUAGCUGGAUCGAGAGGUUGACCAGCCACACUGGGACUGAGAUACGGCCCAGACUCCUACGGGAGGCAGCAGUAAGGAAUCUUCCACAAUGGACGAAAGUCUGAUGGAGCAACGCCGCGUGCAGGAUGACGGCCUUCGGGUUGUAAACUGCUUUUAUACGGGAAGAUUAUGACGGUACCGUAUGAAUAAGGACCGGCUAACUACGUGCCAGCCGCCGCCGUAA